GAUGAAGAACGUAGCGAAAUGCGAUAAGUAAUGUGAAUUGCAGAAUUCAGUGAAUCAUCGAGUCUUUGAACGCACAUUGCGCCCCCUGGUAUUCCGGGGGGCAUGCCUGUCCGAGCGUCAUUGCUGCCCUCAAGCAUGGCUUGUGUGUUGGGCCCCGCCCCCCGGCUCCCGGGGGGCGGGCCCGAAAGGCAGCGGCGGCACCGCGUCCGGUCCUCGAGCGUAUGGGGCUUCGUCACCCGCUCCGUAGGCCCGGCCGGCGCCCGCCGGCGACCCCCCUCAAUCUUUUCAGGUUGACCUCGGAUCAGGUAGGGAUACCCGCUGAACUUAAGCAUAUCAAUAAGCGGAGGA
rnacentral:misc_RNA from 1 species